rnacentral:rRNA from 1 species
GACGAACGCUGGCGGCGUGCUUAACACAUGCAAGUCGAACGGAAGGACCCUGAUUUUGUGUGUUUCUUGUUUGGCGAACGGGUGAGUAACACGUGUGUAACCUGCCCCUAACUUUGGGAUAACUUCAGGGAACUGGGGCUAAUACCGGAUAGGAGCUCCUGCUGCACGGGGGGGGAUAGAAAGUGUCGGCGGUUGGGGAUGGACUAGCGGCUUAUGAGCUUGAUGGUGGGGUAGUUAUUUACCAAGCGUUUGACGGGUAGCCUGCCUGAGAGAGGGAACGGCCACAUUGGGACUGAGAGAGGGCGCAGACGGGUACGGGAGGCAGUAGGCGGGAAUAUUGCGGAAUGGGGGGGAGUGUGUGGCAGCAGUGCCGGGUGCGUGAUGAUGGGCUUCGGGUUAUAAACCGAUGUCGCCGGUGACGAAGCGUGAGUGACGGUAAUGGGUAAAGAAGCACCGGCUAACUACGUG